GUCCUGGUCCCGCUCUUUUCGCCAGUCUGGAGCAACGUUUGGAGGAGCCCAGCAGCCUGGUCCUUUCCGUAGCUUCCAAGGAUUUUUAGGAUCGCAGGAUUUACAGACCCGCGAAAACCCCUGGAGGACGUUAGCUGUGGAUAAAAGCCUCUGGAAAUGCCUACCGUCUUCCUUACCUCUUGUUUCUUCUUGGGUGACCUGCACGUCGUUUGGGAAGGGAGCCUCUCCGUUCUUGGAGGAUUACGUCUAACCAGCCACUUGCCACCCUCACUGGAAUACAUCUGCUAAGUUUUCCCAGGAUGGAGAAAUUACUACAUGUGGCAGAAGGCUAUUUUUCCCUUCUCCCGGAACUCUCCCAGAGCGCAGCGGUGCUCUCGUCCAGCAGGUCUCGGUUGACUGCAGAAAGGAGAGAGGAAGAGCGUCUGGAAGGGAGCUCAGAUCCCGCCAGGGUUUCCCAGGAAAUGAGAUCUAUCUGGAAAGUAUGAACCGUGAGAACAGCUUACUCACUAUUAGAUAAGUAUUAUGGAUGACUCAUGUCAGAAUACUGAUAGAUGUGCAGCUGACAUGAAUAUACUGUUUUAUAAGAGCUGUAACACUAUGCUGAGAGCCAGGAGUCUUAACUUGCCUCCCCCCCGCCUUGCUUUUCCACUAACUUGCUUUGGUUCUCUGACACCUUUUACUCCUUAGUUUGGCCAUCUAAACAGCUCAUAGAAGAGUUUUUGCCCCCCUCAAGGGGGUACAGGGUAUGGGGCAACUCAUCAACAUUAGUAGAUGGCAUCUUCAAAUGGAAGACAGUGUUGAAAGGCUGCAGUAUUGUAGCUAUUUUACAGGUCAACAUGCAGUUUUUCUGUUYUUAAUAUAUGCAGUUAGUGGCUUUCCUUGUUUCUUUGUGUUUUUGUUUUCUUUCCAGAGUCAUUACUCCCAACUUCCAGCAUGACAACCCAAAAGGUCCAGAAACAGUGUUUGGUACAACGAGGCCUCCUGGAAUGGCAUUAUCACUGURCAAACAGCAGGUGAUGAGACUAAAGAAGCAAAAGACAAGGGGGGAAAAUGCAUGCCUGGGUGAGAUUCACAUGGAGCUGAGCCGUAAAGGUUUUCUAACUAUGGAAGCUCUCCUGAGGAGUUGCAUCAUGCGCUGCUGCCCCUAAAACAGUGUGCAUAUAUUUGGGAGUGAUGAAGAACUGCAAUGUACUGCUGCAUAUUGCUUUAGUGAUGAGAGAGGCUCUCUGGCAUGUCGUACAGCACCAAAACCCAUUCCGGUGUUGACAGCAGAAAUCCUUAUCAUUUUUGUAUUUUUUUCCAAGACAGCUGAUAUCUGCUGUGGAUUCUUUGUAUGYAAAUCAAGGUGGUACAACAACAACAAAAAAAGCCCUGAAAGCAGUCACCAAGAUAAACUUGGACCAAUGGGGACAUUCCUGGUUAUCGUUUUUUAACUUUUGGGGUUUUUUUAGCUCUACGCAAGAUACUUCUUUCCCCGCUCUUUCUUACAGUAGUUAAUGUUUGUCCUGGCAGACCUUUUAUUUAUCAAUUACAGUGUUUCUUGCAUUUUAUAUGGCUGCAUAUCAAUAUACAUGAAUAAAAGACAGAAAGUGCUGGAAAUUGUCA
ensembl:lncRNA